UCUAAGGCAUGAAAGAUUCUUUUUUCUAGUUUAGUUUGUGCUUUGAUAUAUAUAUCCAGUGAUUUAAAUUUGUUCUUUCUUUUAACUGGCCAGAGCCAACUGAAGAAGCCAUCCACUUAUCUAUACAGAAGUAUUCAUGUCUUUUGUUCCAUGACAGGAAAAGAUUGGUCUCCCGUAGGCUUGCCUUCAAAAAGCACUACAUUUUAAGUGAUCCCACAGCUAUAUAGCUAGCACGCACUCCAAAAGAUGAAGUUAACUAAUGCUUUGACUAAUCAGAAGAAUGGGAAACUUCUAUUGAUAAGUAAAAACUUUAAAAAUACUGCUCUGCAUAUUGAGAAGCAUGGGAGAAAUGGAUGGGGAAGGAAAAAGAAGACAGGAAGAAAGCAAAAAGAAAAUAUACAUCAUGGGAAAGACAACACCAAAAGUGGCAGACACCAGCAGACAAAGCGCUGAGACUUGGAUGGUAAGACAGAUAAGGAAAAUGUCACCUGUGACUAAGAAGUAACAGUUUUUAGGGGGAUGGGAGGAUGGUGGUGAAACUCCAGCCCUAGACUGCUACUCAGGGUAAGUCAUGGAGAGAGAGUGGGAAUCACUUACAGUGGUAUGAAAUUCAUUUGUGAAGGUUACCUCAGUGUUGUUCCAUCUGGUGAACUAUUGGUUAAAAAGU